GGGGUUGCACUGGUUUCGACGGGGGUUCUGAAACUCAAUAAGCGGGCAGAUGCGCCUACCAUCUCAAAAAUGGGCGUCUUUAUAAAUUAAAGAACAACAACGAACAACAACUGUUAGCCGCUUAGGCUAACCGUCCGAGCCGGGAAGUCCACGCACCGGCCGGGCGUCACUUAGUGGAGAACGUGUACGCGCUGAGCUUGAAUACGCGUCACGCACAUUAAGCUACCGGACACCCGCGCCUGACGGCUUGCAGGGUAUAAGGGAAUUGCGGGCAACCGCGAAAUAACCGUCUGCGCCCGGAGAAAGUUGUGCGGAGGGGCUUUCGGACGCGGGUUCGAUUCCCGCCAGCUCCACCA
rnacentral:tmRNA from 1 species